AGUGAACGCUGGCGGUAGGCCUAACACAUGCAAGUCGAACGGCAGCACAGUAAGAGCUUGCUCUUACGGGUGGCGAGUGGCGGACGGGUGAGGAAUACAUCGGAAUCUACUUUUUCGUGGGGGAUAACGUAGGGAAACUUACGCUAAUACCGCAUACGACCUACGGGUGAAAGCAGGGGAUCUUCGGACCUUGCGCGAUUGAAUGAGCUGAUGUCGGAUUAGCUAGUUGGCGGGGUAAAGGCCCACCAAGGCGACGAUCCGUAGCUGGUCUGAGAGGAUGAUCAGCCACACUGGAACUGAGACACGGUCCAGACUCCUACGGGAGGCAGCAGUGGGGAAUAUUGGACAAUGGGCGCAAGCCUGAUCCAGCCAUACCGCGUGGGUGAAGAAGGCCUUCGGGUUGUAAAACCCUUUUGUUAGGGAAGAAAAGCAGCAGGUUAAUACCCCGCUGUUCUGACGGUACCCAAAGAAUAAGCACCGGCUAACUUCGUG
rnacentral:rRNA from 1 species